AUUGAACGCUGGCGGCAUGCCUUACACAUGCAAGUCGAACGGCAGCACGGACUUCGGUCUGGUGGCGAGUGGCGAACGGGUGAGUAAUAUAUCGGAACAUACCUUGUAGUGGGGGAUAACUAUCCGAAAGGAUAGCUAAUACCGCAUACGAUCUAAGGAUGAAAGCGGGGGAUCUUCGGACCUCGUGCUAUAAGAGUGGCCGAUAUCUGAUUAGCUAGUUGGUGAGGUAAAGGCUCACCAAGGCGACGAUCAGUAGCUGGUCUGAGAGGACGACCAGCCACACUGGAACUGAGACACGGUCCAGACUCCUACGGGAGGCAGCAGUGGGGAAUUUUGGACAAUGGGGGCAACCCUGAUCCAGCAAUGCCGCGUGAGUGAAGAAGGCCUUCGGGUUGUAAAGCUCUUUUGUCAGGGAAGAAACGGUUGUGGCUAAUAUCCAUGGCUAAUGACGGUACCUGAAGAAUAAGCACCGGCUAACUACGUGCCAGCCGCCGCGGUAA
rnacentral:rRNA from 1 species